AGGUAACGAGCAGUGAUUGAAUAGAACUAGUCCUGGGAGUCUAGUGUAGUCCUUAGUGGGUCAUGCUCUGGUAGAUGUAACAUCGCGGAUGGGAUGUUUUACUAUGUUUUCUUUUGGUUGUUGAACAACUUUACAUGUAAUGUAGUACAUGAUUUGAAUGUUGUUAUUUUGUAUCCGCUGCGAAUUAUGCAAAGGUGUCCUAUUUUGAUUGAAUAAAUGAGCAUGACAGGAUAUAUUGAUGAUUGGUGUGAAAUGAUUGUGUGACAUCCUUCAGGGCAUAAUUACUCUGAUUGAUAUUUUAUUAUUUUAAUCAAAUACUUGGGGUAUUUU
rnacentral:lncRNA from 1 species